UUUUUUUUUUUUUAAAUUUUAUGGGAUUACAAGCAAUCUCCAGUUUCUUGAAACAUCCAUUCCUUGGUUUCUAGAUCAUUGUUUCUUAGACGUCUCUAAUUUCUGACUACCUUCACUGUCUUUAUUGGGGGUGUGAAUGGAUAUUUGUGUGUGUGUUGUUUCUGGAGGGGCAGUAUUUCACUAUGUACCCCUGGCUGGUCUGGAGCUCUCCUUGUAGAUAGUCCUGCUGGCUUUGAACUCACAGACCUCUGCCUCCUAAGUGCUGGGAUUAAAGGCAUAUACUGCCGUGCCUGGCAUUUUUAUCUUGUUUUUCUUCUUUUUCUUUUUCUCUUUUUCUUUCUCUUUUUCUUCUUUUCUUUUCUUUUCCUUUCUUUUCCUUUCUCUCUCUCUCUUCCUUUCUUUCUUUCUUUCUUUCUUUCUUUCUUUCUUUCUUUCUUUCUUUCUUUCUUUCUGAGAAAUUACUUUAUUAUAUAACUCAGGCAAGCCUCAAACCUUCCCCCCUCAGCUUCUCAAGUGCUGGGAUUAUAGGGAUGCAGAUUUCAUCUGGCUAAAUCUUUGUCAAUGAAUUCUCUUUGUGUCUUAGUUUAGGUUUUUGUUGUGAAGAGGCACUGUGACCAUGGCAACUCUUAUAAAGAAAAACAUUUAAUUGGGGUUGGCUUACAGGUUUAGAGGUUUAGUCCAUUAUGGUCAUGGUGUACAGGCAGAUAAGAACCUCAAAGUGUAAGUUCUACAUCUGGAUUGGCAGACAGCAGGAAGAGAGAUAGACACUGGGUCUGGCUUGAACAUUGGAAAGCUCAAAGCUCAAUCCCAGUAACAAUGAGGCAGCAUCUACUCCAACAAGGCCAAACCUUCUUAAUAGUGUCAUUUCCUAUGAGCCUGUGGAGGCCAUUUUCAUUCAGAUACCACACUCUGCUUUCCUAAAUCCUGUUUUUAUUAAAUUUAUUUUUAUUUUUUAAAAAAGAUUUUGCGUUUAGCUUCAUUCGCAGCUUCAUUGACCACUUAUGAACUGGCAGCUCCUGAAUUUUAUAGCUCUAGUUUAAUUUCACUCUGAACUGAAGUAUGCUCUUUUUCUUUUUCUUCUUUUUUCUUUUUUUAUAUUUAUGUUUUUUGCUAGUCUUAUAACCCAGGCUGGCUUUUAAGUUCACUUUGUAGUUGAAGAUUAUCUAGGACUUCUGUCCUGCCUUUCUUCACCUCCCAAGCGCUAGGAUUGUAGGUGUGCACCAUCAUCCCUGGUUUAUGUGCUGCUGGGGAUUGAACCCAGGGCUUUGUGCAUGGUGGACAAAGCACUCUACCAAUGAGGCUGCAUUCCUAGCCCAUUGUCUGGAUAUCUGAAGUAUUCUUUAAGUGUCUCAAAAUUUAACAUGCUUAAAACUGUUGUCUGUUCCCCUUUUCAUUGUCUUCCCCUUUCUUCCAUCUUGUUUUUUUCCCUCGGACUUAAACAGAUGCUUUUUUCGUUUGAGCUAGUUGGGGACCUGCUAUAUAGCUUAGGCUGGCCUUGAAUUGGUAGUCUUCCUGCUUUAGUCUGAGUGCUGGCAUUUCAGGUGUGUGUUAUACUUGAUCUUAUCACCUUUUGUGAAGCAUAAUUUCCCUAUGUAUUACAAGACAAUCAGUGGUGUUCCCAAGUCUCCAGUGUUAAGAUUCAUUAAUCACCUCUUUUGUUCACCUCUGGAUGUGCCAUGCCUUACUGUUUUCACUUUUGGUUUAAAUCCAGAGGCAGAUUAUCUUCAGUUAUAUUCUAGACCAGCUGUUUGACACCUGCCUAAUUUGAUCUUCCUCCCUGCCCUCCCAAGUGCUGGGAUUUUAAGCUCCUUUAGAAUCUAAAGAGGAAACACAGCUGAGCCACAUUCUGUGAAGAGUUUUUGCUCUUCAGUGACAAUACUGAUGAAGAGGUGUUAGACUUGCAACACUGGACUGGACAGUGAACUCUGAGCUUGCUACUGCUCUAGUUUGGUGUAAUUUGUGGCUCUGUGGCCAGCUACUGGCUCCUACAGACCGGAUGAAGCAGAUUGGAGACAGAAGUGGAGAAAGCCUCCAGCUGGUACAUUCUCAGAGUGUAGUCCUCUGGCUGCUGGCCCUGUCCAGCCUGCCUCAUGGAGAAGAUGAACUGGUUAAGCAGGCUGGCCUCCCGGGUCCCUGGGCACCGUGUACCACAAGGGGCCAGUCUACAGACCCCUGUCAUGGCUGACCCUGAGACAUGCCUCAUGGUCUUCAAGAAUCAUUGGUCCCAGGUGGUACGAAUCCUGGAGCGGCAAGGCCCUCGGGCAGCUACUGGAGGUGCAGAUGAUCUCAGUGCUGUGAGAAACCACACGUACCAAAUGCUAACAUUGCUGGCAGAGGAUCGAGCAGUUCCUUCAGCUCCCUCAGGCCCUGGGCCCCUGCUAGAGUUUGCUCUUCGUGAAGAUCUGCUGAGCCGAGUGUUGACAUGGCAGUUGCAAUGGGAUGAGUUUGGGGAUGGGGUUGAAGAACGGCGGGCUGAACAGUUGAAACUAUUUGAAAUGCUAGUGAGCGAAGCUCGCCAACCUCUGUUGCGGCAUGGGCCAGUUCGAGAGGCUCUGCUUGCCCUACUGGAUGCCUGUGGCCGCCCUGUGCCCAGUAGUCCAGCACUGGAUGAAGGCCUGGUGCUACUUCUCAGCCAACUGUGCGUGUGUGUUGCUCGGGAGCCUUCACUGCUCGAGUUCUUCUUGCAGCCACCCCCAGAGCCUGGAGCUGCUCCACGUCUUCUCCUCUUUUCUCGCCUUGUCCCCUUUGUCCAUCGAGAAGGCACCCUGGGCCAGCAGGCCCGUGAUGCUCUACUUCUGCUCAUGGCUCUGUCAGAUGGGAGCCCCACUGUGGGCCGCUACAUCGCAGAUCACUCUUACUUCUGCCCGGUGCUGGCCACAGGGCUGAGCGCCCUGUACUCCUCACUGCCUCGAAAGAUUGAGGUUCCGGGGGAUGAUUGGCACUGCUUGCGCCGGGAAGACUGGAUAGGAGUGCCUGCCCUUGCACUCUUCAUGAGUUCCCUUGAGUUCUGCAAUGCAGUCAUUCAGGUAGCUCACCCGCUGGUGCAGAAGCAGCUGGUUGAUUAUAUUCACAAUGGUUUCCUGGUGCCUGUCAUGGGCCCUGCCCUGCACAAGACCUCUGUGGAGGAGAUGAUUGCGAGUACCGCCUACCUGGAACUUUUCCUGCGGAGCAUCUCAGAGCCUGCUUUGCUCCGUACCUUCCUGCGAUUCCUGUUGUUACAUCGGCAUGAUACCCACACCAUCCUUGACACGCUCGUUGCCCGUAUUGGCAGCAACUCCCGGCUCUGCAUGGUCUCUCUGAGUCUCUUCAGGACCCUUCUGAACCUCAGCUGUGAGGAUGUUCUGCUGCAGCUGGUUCUCAGGUAUCUUGUCCCAUGUAACCAUGUGAUGCUAAGCCAGAAGCCAGCUGUGCGUGAUGUGGAUCUUUAUGGACGAGCAGCUGACAAGUUUCUCUCCCUAAUACCACGCUGCUGCCGGCACCAUGCCCCUAGCCCACCUCGACCAGAGCAUGCCUCAUGGGCACGAGGUGGGCCUAGCAGAGAGGCAGGGAGAAGGGAGGACAUCACGGGCCCUGGAAGCCCAAGUGUUGAUUCUUCGUCAGUGGUAACAGUGCCCCGCCCCUCCACACCAUCUCGUCUGGCUCUGUUUCUUCGGCAACAGAGCCUAGGUGGCUCUGAGUCCCCAGGUCCAGUUCCUCGAUCACCAGGGCUUACUGCAUCUCCAACUUCCAGCCCUAGUCGAAGGCCCAGCCCUGCAGAGGAGCCUGGUGAGCUAGAAGACAAUUACCUGGAGUAUCUGCGUGAGGCACGCCGUGGUGUAGACCGCUGUGUCCGAGCCUGCCGAACCUGGUCUGCCCCUUAUGAUGGCGAGCGCCCCCCUCCUGAGCCUAACCCUCUUGGCUCCCGGACUAAGAAACGCAGUCUACUACCAGAGGAAGACAGGGACAAUGUAAGGGAAGGAGAGGAGGAAAACCUAGGGAGUCGAGGGUUAGCUGUGGGUGUAGGGGAUACCCCUGGCUACCUACUCCCACCCCAGCUCAAUGGGGUACCAGGGCCAUGGCCAGAAGGAGCCAAGAAGGUUCGUCUGGUGCCACGAUUGGUACCACAGGAAGGAGUUAGGGAAUUGUUAGAGGGUACCUCUGAGGACAUGGCAGGACUAGAGAGCUUUGGGCAAGAGCUCCAGGAGCUGGAGGUGGCAUUGAGCAAUGGUGGAGCUGGCUCAGAGCCUCCCUUAGAGCCUCCACUACCUCCUGAGGAGGAGGAGGCCUACGAGAGCUUCACCUGCCCUCCUGAGCCCCCCGGCCCCUUCCUCAGCAGCCCUUUGCGGACUCUCCACCAGCUGCCGAGCCAGCCCUUCACUGGUAAGCUAUUUGACCUAAGCCUUUGCUCUGUGUACUCUUGCAUGUUCUCAACAUGUUUGUGCUGAUUUCUAAGACCCUUUUGGCUAUGCCAUUUUCAUGUAUUUGCCUAGCCGUCAUCCAUUUUGCUUGAGUCCCUUCUAUAUACAUAUCAUAUCAUACUAUGCCCUCAUGUUUGUUGAUAUGUCUUUCCAUGCUUGUGCUGUUUGGAUAUUGACUUAUGUCUGUGCCUUGUAUGUCCUUAAAUGCAUGUUCUUCCUUUUCCUUUAGUCUGGCCAUUUUCUGGGGUUUGUAAAUAGGAUGCUCUGUACUUGGUGAAAAAUACAUCUGAGCCACAUGGACGAUGUUUGUACUGUCCUGUGUGAAAGACACAGGUGCACCUCUGUUUUGUGCCAUUCUCACCAGUCUGUGUAUUUUUCAAUCUUCUGCUAGGUCUCUUAUGGUCCUAGAGUCAUUUUGUUGUUUUCCUUCUUGCUCAGCACUUUCUGUCUCUUCAAUGAAGGGCCUGAUUUCACUUCUUCCAUCUACUGUCUUGUACUUUCUUAGUUGCCAUGACUAUCCAAUAUAGUUAUUUUAAGGACACGAUUAACAAGGAUUGGAUGGUAGGCAACACUUCUCUUUGAGGGCAAAUGACAAAGUAUGUCUCUGAGUGUCCCUGGUAGGCCCUUUUGGGUUGAUACCCCUGAAGCUAGACAUAACCUGAGAUUUUGGGCUGGAUCUGUUUUGUUGAUGAGCAAGACAAGCCUUUAUCCGGCUCUAAUGUACAUCCCAGCAAGACGAUCUGGGAAGCAGUGCAGUGGCUAAAGUUAAGACCACAGGCUUUGGAUUAAGCAGACCCUAAAAUUGGUUCAUGAAAAUCACUUAAUAUUAUAUUGGCACAUUGUGAAAACUCAGCAAAUGGUAGCUUUUCACUGGGAUUAUCAUCAGUGAGUUAGAAGAUUUAAGUUGACUAAUACACCACCUAUCCUAGUUGAUAUCCAACCAAGUUUAUCUACUGUUUAUCUUGGUAAGUUUGGGACUGUCUUGUUAUAGCACUGGGACGUAUUCUUUCUCUUGCAGACUAUAACUAUCUUUCUAUUUGUUUAAGCCUCUGCUCUACUCCUUUCCUGCUCAGUAUCUUUAAGAGGUAAUACGGUUUUAUCACAGUCUUGAGUAUUAGUUGGUGCCUCUUUCCCUUUUCUUCUUGGUAAAAUUAUUUGUGCUCUUUAUAUUAUCCUUUACAAGGUACUCCCAGGGAAUGAACAGAAGGAAAAAGUUAGAGAUUUUGUUUAGACUCUUAAGCUAAUACUACUUUUGAGCUAUGGCUAGUUAUGUGAACACCUCCAGCAGAUGGUAGAAUAAAUUUUUCAGGAUUCACCAUCUCUUGUUCAUUAUUCUGAUAUCAUAGUUGCUAGUACAUCUCUUUUCUCCAAAAAUCCUUCAUUAGAAAUACUCUGAUGGCUUUAGUGGUCUAGUGUCUUGUUAUGUCUCAAGGCAUCUGUCCCAGGACAUAAUGCUAAUCCCUUCUUAUCCUGAAUCAUUUUUCUGUGCCCCAACUAAGCUAUUCUUUUCCUGCAGGAUCUAGUUUACCCCUCUUCCCUGUUCCUGAAGGACAGAGCUAAUGUUAUCUCUGGUUCCUUAAAGACUGACUAGUUGCUUUGAAGUUCAUAGUUUCUUCUGUGUUACAUCUCUUUUUUACUUUCUUUGUGACCAGUUUCAUGUUACUCUAUCUUACUUGGAACCUGAUUUUGUGUUUUGGUUCUCUGUAUUCUUCUGUUGUAUUCAUGAGUGAAGCUUCUUAAAAACUGAGAAAUACAGUAUAGGUUAUGGUUAUAAUCAAAUGAAAAAAAUUGCUAGAUCUUGUACUGGAUAUUUGACAUUGAUAUCUCUUUGGUCCUCUUAAUUAUCAUAAUGAGGUAGGUAUAUUUAUUUUUACAACAAACAGGGAACUAAAUGUUGGCGAGCUUUCAGCUUAUCCUGUCCCAGGACACAUCUGAAAUUUGAGAUGAGAUCUCCGACUCUAUAGCCUAAGAACGACUCAUCAGUUAUAAUGUCUGUAAUGCUGGCAUCUGGAUUACCUUAAUUGACUAGAUAGACUGGUCACAGGUCAUUUGAUACUCAGAUACUUACAUAUAAUUUUCAUCUAGUGGGGUCUUGUUUGGGGGAGUAAUACGAGCAGAGUGCAUUAUGUUCAGGCCUUGUAUCCUUGUGCCCACCCCCUUCCCAGGCCCCUUCAUGGCUGUGCUCUUUGCCAAACUCGAGAACAUGCUGCAGAACUCCGUCUAUGUCAACUUCCUGCUGACGGGGCUGGUGGCCCAGCUGGCCUGUCACCCCCAGCCCCUGCUCCGCUCUUUCCUGCUCAACACCAACAUGGUCUUCCAGCCCAGUGUCAAGUCCCUGCUGCAGGUGCUGGGCUCUGUGAAGAAUAAGAUUGAGAGCUUUGCGGCCUCCCAGGAGGACUUCCCUGCUCUGCUAUCCAAAGCCAAGAAGUACCUCAUUGCCCGUGGCAAGCUGGACUGGGCUGAGGGUCCUACAGCAGGACCUGCCCCCCGCCGCUCUGAUUCCCUAGUGAGGAGCCGGAGGCCAUCCUUGGGGGAAUUACUCCUGCGGCAUGCACACAGCCCAACCAGGGCCCGACAGGCGGUGCAGGUUCUCCAACCUGGGCGAGAUGGAACAGGACUUGGACUAGGUGGGGGCUCUCCAGGGGCUUCAACUCCAGUUCUACUUCCCCGGGGCGGGGCUUCUGAGCGCCAAGGUGAGGCUCUUCGAGUCAAGAAUGCUGUCUACUGUGCAGUCAUUUUCCCUGAGUUUCUCAAGGAGUUGGCUGCCAUCUCCCAGGCCCAUGCUGUCACCUCGCCUUUCUUGUUGGAUACUUCAGAGGAGGUAUCUCUUCCUCCCAUCUCAGGCUUUGGGCCCCUCAAUCCUUAGUUUUCUUCCAUGGACAAUCAGGGCCUUCUGUGGCCUGGGCUGAAAUCCAGGACACGGGCUCCUUUUUAUGUUUGGAGGCAGUGGCAAAUGGACUUUUUAAUUUAUUCCAGAUGAAUGUUUUAUGAGAACUUGUUGCAAUAUGUAUAAAAGGGAAAUCUCUAUUCUGUGCUCAUUCUUCUUUGCCACCCUUUAUCUGUGGGGCUGUGGCCCUAUGAAGAUUGUAUAUAGAUGGGGGAAUCAUCAGGGCCAUUUUUCUCUUUGGUGAAAACACUGAUGAUAGGGUUUCAUGAUAGCCCUUGUACUGUUAGAAGGUGAGAGGACUUGAUGCUUUGGGGAAAAUGGAGACUUCAUCUUUCUGGACCCUAGAAGAAGAAGCACACAGGCCUAGGGUGGUUUGGGGCUGCAGCAGUUGAUGUUUAUUGGGGACCAGUAUCCCUAUGCCAGAUCUUAAGGGCCUUGGCCCCUGCAUCUCUUGCCUCAGCUUCAUUCGUCGCUGUCGAACUCCGAAGACAAACCCUGAAGCAGGGGCAGGGACAUGGAGUGCCGGUCGGGGUCCCCGGGGCCCCCACCCUGGGCUCCUGGUGGAGGGUUGCGGGGGCUGAAGAGCCAGUUCUCUGCUAGGGUUGGGGAUAGUCACAGCUUGACUCAUGCCCUGGUCUUCCUCCCUAGUCCCUCCCUCUGAUUCUUUGUGCUACAACACCCCCAUCCCGCCACCUUACCACAACCAUGCUUCCACCUCACCCUCCCCUUGGCUCCUUCAUGAAGGUCCUGUACAAACUCUGGGCUGCUGAGCCUAUUCCUUGGUUAUGUGCCCUGUGCCCUCUCCCUCCAAUGGCCUUUCCCCUUCCUCAUCUUCAUUUCCCCUAGCAGUACCUGAAAGCAUAUAGGGGCCCCUCCGGAAGGGGUUUCGACCCUUAUGGGAGAAUCUGGUGGGUCUGCCUUCUGGCCCUUCUUGGGGAGGUGGUGUAGGUGGGGCUGGGACAGGUGGAGGUACAUCAGCAACUUCAUGGGUAUCAGCAGAUACUGAUGUGGGGGCCAGAGUUGAUAUGAUGCUAAGGCUAGGUCUAACCCAGUUGGCUCCUUGGGGCAAUGGGUCUUUGGUCAGAGACUUCUGUGGUCCCAGCACACCCUUGGGCUGCAGUGAAAACUUGAGGCAGGAGAAAGCAAUAGGUAGUGACCGCUGUAACCGGAUCAGCUGGGGUUCACGGGCUGUAGGCAAAAGCCCUAGCUGCAGCCAGGUGCAGGAGAAGACCUGGUAGAUGACGUAGAUGCUGUGGGUGCUUCGGAGCCAGGGAAGAUUCUGUUGUAGGCUCACCUGCCCUGGUGGUAGCAGCAGGAAAGCAACUUUCUUGCGCAGACCUCCCAUAUGUAGGCGAAUCCUGCAGGGCUGCCCAUCCAUCAUUCGCAUUUCUUCAUAGGCUGUCUCGGCUCGGCCAUUUGGUGAGUAUUCCCGUGUGCAGUGGGCAAAGAUACCCUCAGACCCUGCCUGUUCUAGAAGAUUUGGUAGCAGCCCUACUGAUUUCAGUGCCCUUCUGCCCUGCCGACCUGGCAAAGCCAGGCGGGUGUGGGCUGGACGGGACUGUUUCACUAGCACGCCCAGUAGAUCAUAGUAGGCUGCAUCCGACAGGAAAGGUACUGCCACUACAUUGGACCCAAAACGCUCCUCGAUGACCUGCAGGUGGCCAGUUUAUAAGUCAGGGGCUGAGUUAAGGUCAGAGGUUAACUUGUGUUGUCUAAAUUGACCUACCCACUAUUGUUCACUGUUUAAGUACAUUGCUACAGUAUACUAACAGAUCUGUUUCUUAUUUCCCAGUUCCCUGUAGAAGAAUCUAAUGUCUUAUUUUGUGCCAAAUUUUGGUAAAUACUUGGAUACAUGAAAGAAUGAGACUUUGUCUUUAUACCAAUGUAGCUUGGGCUAAUGGACGGAACAAAAAUGUGAAUAGUAGUUAAGUAAAAUAAUAGCAGGAUGUGUCAAGGACAAAUGAUUUAAAAGUCUUUGUCUUUGAUAGAAAGAUGAUCAAAGGAAUUUGGUCAGUGGCAGUACUUGAGCUUUGGAGGAAUUAACAGGUUGGGCAGUAGUCAUUCCUGACAGAAUGGUCAGCCAGGGAAAAUCCCUGAACCUUUGGGAACAUUUAGGAACACAUAAUUUCAUAUUACUUGCAUUUAAGGAAGGAAAAGGAAAGGCACACGGGAAAUAGGAUAUGGAAAGUCAUAUGUAUAUGCCUUUCAUAAACUACUGUUUCAUUCAGAGGUCAAUGGGAUGCCAGGAAGCCACUUAUAGGCCCAUGGUGGGAGGAUGGGACCAAGGAGAAGAGAGCUGAUUUUUUAAUAAGCAUAAAGCAGGAAAGAGAAGUAACUUAAGACUGUUGCAAUAAUUGCAAGCAAAACACAAUUUUAGUUCCUGAACUACAUAAUGGGAAAGAGUUGAAGACAUAGAAUUGGUAGAAUUUGGUCUUUUCAUGGAUGUGAAAAAAAAAAAAAGGAAUCUUCAAAGAUCAUGCCUAGGUGAUGGGUUAUAUGGGUAAUAUUAGGGAAAAAUGGAUACACAGAUGCAGGCUUAUAAUGUCCAUUCUUUUUUGCAGGGGCAGUUAUCUCUUACGUUCUUUCUACUGUAGCUACAAGGGAUAAUUCUUUCUAUGUGCGUGUGAUGUCUCUUUUUUGUAUUGUUCCAAUAUCUGUUUAGGGUUUCCAGUUCCUUAGGUUUGCCCUUUACUUAUUAUUAUUUUGUUUGCCGUAUUUGUGCUUGGUGACCUGUUCAUGAGAGUACCUGGGAACCUGGUAAGAUCCUUUUUAGUAGUCAGUGACUUAGCUGUUAUAGUUUUGACCCAUUAUAGAUUUCAUUGGUUGAGCCUUCUGGCUCUCAGUUAUGCUAGAUUGCAAAGCCAUACAGAAGUUCCAAGUUAUCUACCUUUUAUCUCCCAGAUUCCACAUAUCUGUGUUCUUACACUGAAUUUACCCAAUGACCCCUGAAGCUGCUCUGCUCUUAUUUUGUAACCUAAAGCAGUGUUGAAGUGCCGGCCUGUUGUAUUGAAAGAAAGAAAUCAGGGCACUCAGAGGUGCCCUGUUCUGCUUGAAGUUGGCACAUUUAUCCUGUGUAUCUUUGCCCUGAGUUAUUCGCUGAGAUAAUAUAAGGAGAGUUUUCUUUUUUCUUUUCUGUAGUGAAAUACCUCAUUUAUGAUAAUGUAAUUAUUAGCAGGUCUAGUCUAGGUACAGACUUCACUGUUGAAACCAACUAGUCUUAAUCUUGGGAGGACCCUUUCUUUCCUUUUCUGCCUCCCUUGCCUUUGUGGUUAGCAUAUUCACAAGCAAUGGGAGUUAAUGCCAUCAAUUCUGCUGGAUGCUGCUCUAAGAUGGUGGUUUAAUAUGGAAAAUACACAUUUUUUUUCUCCUUUUUCCUCUCAUGGAUUUUGGUUUUCAUUUAAAUUUGCUGCUGUUCAUUCACCCAUUACUCAUUCAUUUGGGUGUAUUUUGUGACUUUUAUAAGUUGAUUGCUACUGCUACUCUUGUCUUAGAUUUCCUACCUCUUCCUACACAGAAACCACCCAAGACCCAGCCUGGUCAUACUUUGCCACUUUUCCCUUAGCCCUCUCACUUUACCUACCUUAUCCUUGAUGAGGGCCCAAGUGGCAUCUGCUUCAUCCAGUGUUAGCAGGUGGGGGCUACUGACCAACAUGGUGGGGAGUGGGAGGGGUUGGGCAAGGUAGUGGCUGCUGCAGGAACCCCCAAGCUGCCCAGAGAGAUUAGGCCCGCCUACUUUGGGCUGUGACCUACUCCAGCAUGAGGUCAUAGAGGCCCUAAUAGGUGAUAGAGCCUUGGAUACAGAGAGCACUGUAACUCUACUAGCCUCAUUGCAGUCUGUGGGUCAUAAUAUUUACAAAUUUUUACUUCUUUUUUCCCAAUUCUAUUACUGUUUGUCAUUUUAUUUUUCCUUUAUGUUCUUGCCCUGCCCUGCCCUGUCUUUAAACAGCACAAAGACGCUCUCUUCUUUCGUCUCUCCUCUUCUCUUUUCACUCUUUUUCUUUUUUCUUAUACAGUCUUGCCUCAUGGUCUCGUGGUCUUCUGCCUCAGCCUGGAGUGGUCAUUAUAUUGCUUCGGGAGAGGAAAAUGCAACAUAUUCUUUCUGUCCAAGUCUCAUCUAUAGUUCUUGUUUUGAGUUCUUUAAGGAAACAGGGUAGGACCACUCCUCUUUUUAACUGCUUUACUAGAGUAACUGCUAUCUAGUUAGUUGUGGAUUACUUCUCUUUGAGGCUACACUGGGGUCUGGAAGGACAUAGAAGUAUAGAUUAAGACUUAGACUGAAAAAUUCAUCAUCAUCAUCAUCACCAUCACCAUCACCAUCACCAUCAUCACCAUCAACAGCAGCAGCAGCAGCAGCAGCAGCAGCAGCAGCAGCAGCAACAUCAUCAUCAUCCCAGGGAUUCUCAGCCUAUAAAUUACCAGGGAGAUUUGAAAAUUACUGAUACCUGGUUCCUAUUUUUACAAAUUAUGAUUUAAUUCAUCUGGGGGUAUGCCUGGGAAUUCUAACUUCUGAAAGCUCCUAGGUUGAAGCCAAUUAUUAAUGAGUGGGUUAUAAAUGCGGUAGAGAACAGGUGUGCGUAGGAGGGUGAUAGGCUGAGCAAGCAAUGUGGAGAGUAAGAUCUAGAUGGAAUUAUGUUCCCUUAGUAACUGGCAGGAAUUUUCAGGAAGCCAGAAUUACCCAGGUAAACAUGAAGAUUUUCUUCAUGUUCCAUUCCUGUUGCAGGUGAAUUUGUGUGUAGUAGUUUCUCUCCCACUCUCGUUAUUGCUCUCCUCCCCCAUGUCUUUGUCCAGAGAGCUCACCUAAUGUUUUGCUUGAGAAGAACGACUCUUGAAAAAAAUUACUUUAGAACUUUUUAGUAAUCAUUUUCCCACUUGAUACUUUGUCUUAACAGUUUCUGAGGUUCCCUGGAGGUCUCCUGUCUAGGGGGUGUCCUCUUACAGCUUGAGCUAGAGAGAAAUGCUGUCCUGCAAAGCUGGCUGUACUCAGAGCCAGCUUGAAGUGGUACGUGCAUGCCACACAGAAGGGUAUGGCACUGAUAGGAAAGUGUUAUCAGGAAAACUGUCCAAAAGGCAGUGCAGUUGGUCUCAAGCCAAAGGCCCGUCUCCUCAGCCAGUACUAAUGCACGGCAGUGCCAGCGCUUUGAGCAAGUGCUUGACAGUAGAUUUGCUCCUGCUUUCAGGAGAGGAAUUAAGGUCAGAUAUUUGGUGCACUCUUCAGUGCUAGGGUGUGUGUCCAAUACUAAAUGUAUUAUCUUAGAUGAUCCUUUUAGAUAUUUCUUGGUUUUGUUUUGUGUUUGUUUUUGAGUCAGGGCCUGACUGUGUAAUCCAGAAUGGCUUUGAACUCAUUAUGUAGCUGCAAGCUGCCCGAAUUUCACAGCAGUCCUCCUGCCUCAGCCUUCUGAAUGCUGGGAUUACAGCAGUCACCACUGCCAGCUUCUUUCUGGAAUAUGUAUUAUUGUUUCAUUUUAUAAUGAAGAAAAGGUUCAGAAAAAUUAAUUAGCCAACAACACACAGCAUGUAAUUAACAACAGAUCUAUGGAUCCAGCUCUUAAUAUUGAUCCUUUUGGUGGUGUUGCACUGUUCACUUCAGUGUAUGAUGAGAGAAAUACAUGUGGCAUAGUGAGAAGGAAGUGGACAGGAUGCAAGAGAAGCCACAACAGUCCAAGUGAGAAACCUCAGGUUUCUUAAGACAACUGAAACCAAGUUCCUUCUUUUUUGUGCCUAUUUGGCAAGGCCCUCACACAAUACCAUCUUUUGUAUUAGGGCUGUAAUUUUUAAUGUUUAUGGGUGUUUUGCCUUCAUGUCUGGCUGUGCAUCGUGUGUGUGCUUGGUGGAAGUGGAGGACAGAAGAGACCAUUAGAUUCCUUGGACUGGAAUUAGAGACAGUUCUGAGCCGCCAUGUGGGUAUUGGGAACUGAACCCUCAUCCUCUGGAAGAGCUGUCCAUGCUUUUAAUCGCUGAAGCAUUUUCUCUAUUCCUGAUCCAGCAUGGCACUGUGUUACUGAAGCUGGUCUCCCACUUGUUUACUUCUGACUUAAUUGCUACAUUCGAAUUUAUAUACCACCCUUACAUUUUGGUUGGCAAGGAAAAGAAAUACAGUGUAGUGUAUGUAGUUGGCAACUCUGUUCCCCCCAGAAAGCAAUUUUGAUGAGGAACACUGAUGUGGAAUAAGAGGCAGAUAGAGACAAGUAGAAAGGACAGAAUCAUGUCCCUCUGUACCUCUGCAGUAUAGAAGAAGUUCUGACUGAGAAGCAAAUGCAGAUGACAAGGGGAGUCCAGAAUGAGAAGACAUGUAUGAGGUCAGUGCAGUGAUGGCUUAUUGGUUAAAUAGGAAGCAGAAGCUCUUAGAAUUUUUGCUCAUGGACAUGGUUCAGAGGUUAGAUGGGGUUCUAAUAAACUACUGCUGGAAAUCCUCAUCUGCCCUUUUCUUGCCUUUCAACUUCCAUGAAUUCCUAGGCUUUCUAAAUUCUAUGAUGCUAUACCUUAAUGUGAGUAAGUCUGUUUUUCCUUUUUGCUCAGAAUCUGAGACUGAAAGAUGCUCAAGGAAAACAGAUGAUAACUAAUAACUAAGUCAUGAAUGAGUUGGUGAGCCUGAGGGUUGGACUGUUUGGGCCAUAUCUUUCUGGGAUUUGUUUCCCAUGUGGCACCAUUCUGUGGUUAUCUUUGGAAAGAAGUUCUGAUUGCCUUGAGGAUAUGAGAGUGAUGUGUAUGGAGAUAGAAAAUAAGUAGGACUUUAUGCAGAAAACAUGGAUUCUUUGCAUGAAUCUCUUGGUAGCAUAAAGUAGCAGUGACAGUAAAGAUAUAGAGUGAUAAAGAUCCCUAAUGGUCUCUUGCUUCAGGCUGCAGGGAUAACUAUACACACUCUUGAUGCUUUAGUUUAAACUUUUUGGGAUAAAUAUGUAAGAAAGCUGAGAAUUUUUAAGUUUACAGAAAGAAAGGAAAUGAUACUUCAUAUGUUUAGGAACAUCACCAUUGAAAUUCAGGGCAGUGCCCCCUAGUCAAACUUGUUAACGUUCAUUUUAGUUAGAUAUGUGAACAUUUACACUAAGUGAAUUAAAGGCUAUAAAUAGGAUCAUAUUGGUUGGGGCCAAAGUUAUGGAAAAGAUGUUUCUACAGAGAUUAUUUAUUUUGAAAGUAUAGGUGAUGGGCAGUGGGCAUAUAGUUAAUUCUCAGGUUAUUAUGAAGAACGAGAAUGAGAGUGUGCUGGCAAAGCUUUCUGAACAUAUCACAUGGUAGGUAUGUAUGGAAGAUCAUCAAAACACAAAUGUGUUAGAGUUUUGGCUUGAAGAAAACAUUCUCAGCACAUGGCUUUGGAACAAGAAAACUGGGAGAACUGUGCACAGCUAAGAGUUGAAGGUGCCUUAUCUUCCCGCGGCGGAUGGUAACAGACUCAUUGCUCAUGAACAUUGAUUGCACAUGAUUUCUCUUUCCAUGUAUCAGAGAAGAAAAUGGUGUGUGUGUAUGUAUGUGUGACAUGGGACGAUCAUACACGAAUUCCUUUAUAUUUCUUUAUAAUAAUGUAAUAAAUAUCCUACUGCCAUA